ACCCAGCGGGCUCAGUUGGUAGAGCAUUGGACUCUUGAUCUCGCAGGUGUGAGUUUGAGCCCCACAUUGGGUG
rnacentral:tRNA from 1 species